GGCCAUGCUAUGGAGAUUGCACAAUGGACCUAUUGCUUCAAAGGAGAGUCACACAACACUCCCCAGCCACUGUGUUGACAGCCCUGGGCUGGAGGAAAGGCAGCAGUCUUCACAGAGCUGACUUUACGGCCGGGCUCACCCUUCACCCCAAGACAGCUUUGAUCACUGGGAAGUUUCCACAAACACAGAAUGAAUGAGGAAGAAGGUGGUUAGAUUUUCGGUGUGAUCCACGUGGACGAGAGGUAGUAGGUGUAUAUGCUGGAGCAGCUGUACUUAAGUUCAGAAAUAAGAAGACAAUUGAUCUGAGGACUCAGGAGAGAGCAUGGCUGCUGCAUAGAUGGUGCCUUCCAUCGCUUGGCAUAGGGAAGCCCAGCCAAAGCCUGUGUCUUGGGCAGCCCGGGAGCUCUCAGGAUGGCUUGAAAUCUCCCACAUGGCCUGGGCCUGUUCUCCUUCCCCUCCACAGCUCUCCUGGGUGCAGUCAAAGCUUCACUCCCUACUCCCUACUGAACUAUCGGCUGACUGAUUCCCACUUGUCCAUGCCCCAGGACCCCACAGAAGCUCCACAUGCUUCCACAAGCUGAUGCGCCAGUUCCAAGAGGGGGAAGAAAAGCUGGCACUCAGCCUUUAUUUCUCCCCAAACUCCACAGUCAUUCAAUUCUGAAAAAAAAAAAAAAAAAAACCCAUUGCUUUGAAAAACAUAAAAUGAGAUCUAUCAAACAGCAUCUUGUAUUUUAAAGUGGAAAGAAUGGACUUUGGAAUCAUCUUUGGCAGCUAAUAGGCUGGGACACGCAGAGAAAGAGCUUGCCUGCCUCUGCAGACAUUCCUUGGACUGAUAUCUCCUGAGUUCGGAGACACUGAUGCUAUCACUCACACCUAGUCAAAUGAAAGGAGUCGGGGAUGACAGAAGAAUGCAGGCAACUUACCUACCUGAAGCUGGGGCCUCAAGGUCACCAUGCCCUUGAGUGAGCCCUGUAUGGGUCUACCUUGUGUCUGAUGGUUCUCAGCAGGCACAGCUUCUCUUCAGGGCUUCUGCCGACAUCUUCCCUGCAUGUGGAAAAUGGCCUGGGGUCCCCCUAGACUCAGCUCAAGUCCUCCCCUUUGCUCAGGUUCCCUCUGAGUUCCGGUACCCCCCCAUGCUGCAGACCUCCUCAUGACUCCUUCCUCCCUGAGGCCUGGCCGUCUGCACACCCUCAUCCUAUCUUGUCAGCUUGUUCUUUGUCUCUUUGGUGACCAGACAUGAACCCCUCAAGGCUGUUCCCUCCACAUCCCCAGCGCUCAGUUUCAGGCCAGCCCAGGGCAGGAUGCGCCUCGUGCAGACCAAGGGAAAGAGCCAGCAGCUGCUUCACAUGAGCCUGUCCUCCUAUGCACCUGAAGAGAAUCUUUGGAAGGCCAGUGCCCCCACUUGUCCUGAGGGUGAAGGGGCUGUUCCCUCUAGCCCACACCUGUCAUUCUAGGACUAACUUUCACUUUUUGGAAGCCAGAGCCACUCCCGACCAUUCAGGGCCUUUCAGCAUUCGGAAGGGACACUGACUCCUCCUUAGAUACCACAUGUAGGACAGGAGCGAAGUUCAAGAGUGGUGUCAAGGGCCAGAGACAGGGAUGCUGGGGGGUCUGAAAGAAGCUUCCAGGAGAUGUCUUCACUAGGCACAUGGGGAAGUUGGGGCAUGAGAGCAGAGGAGACACCCAUACAUCUCAGGAGAGCAGUCACGUGUUCGGAGGGUGUCAAGCCACGCUGAAGGCCCCUAGCCAUGCUGGGGAGAGCAUGCUCUAGCCAUGGAGUUGAAGAUGAGGUGGGAGUUGCCCUUGAGACCUUUCAUCUAGGACCUCCCAAGUUCCAUGAAGAGACAAGAGAAAACAGUAAGGGCACUGUAUUCAAGGGAAUGAGGGGUGAUGAGUCCCUCUUGGGUUCCUCAGUAAUGUCUUCCAGGACUGUCCAUUGAUUACACCUCUGCACACAUGUGCAGUGUGCAGAGCCUCCCUACAGGCUGGCCCAUGCCUUCCAGCUGCGUUCACCUGAUAGGAGGGCCAGCUGGAGACCAGAGGCUGGAGGCAGCCAGGGAGGAAUGUGGGCACUGGUUUUCUGACUCCCUGCCUAAAUUCUCACUGCUUUUAAUAGUAAGAUCCAACAUGUGUGUUUAGUCAGUAGUGGGGUCCCGGUAAGCUUGAGCCUGCAGUGAGGGGUGCUGCAGGGGACACAGGCGAACCCAUGAAGCCCCUCACCCCACCUUUUAGCCAUGCCUGGCCAGGGUGGGCAUCACUAGACCCAGGCUCAGCUAUAAGAAAGAGCAAGAACUGAAUGCUUCUCAUAGGUGACGUGGAGACCUGGGGGUGGCUGCCAUCUGGUGCUCUGGGGUUUGAGGGGUGCUCUCUGAAAGACCAAGCUGAGCAACAGGAGGCCCAGAAAUGGGGGCUCCCAUUAGACAUUGUGGCCAGUCUCACAGCACAGCCAGAAGGGCCAGCACAGCGGGGAGGGGAGCAGAGGGGAGGAUGUGCUCCUUGGCCAGGCGAAGGCCUGGUCCCCAGGACUGAGGUCCUAGAGAAUCAGGGAUGCAGGAGAAUGAUGAAGAGAGAGGUCUCAAGGCCAAAGAUAAUAAGGUGAACUGUCAGAAAGUCUGGGAGAAAGAUGAUUUGAGGGUCACCCAAGAGGCUUGCUGUCAAAUGUCCCAAGAUCAGACAGUCGAGCGAGGCAGCAUGAUGGAAGGAAUCUAGCCCUGUCCAUCCACAUAAGCCCGAUUGCAAGUGCACUGUUGGAGUCAUGAAAAAUGUAAUGUCUAGUUCUGGGGUGAGCAGGGCCACUCUCUUCCAAAGAUACUCCCAUGGGAACAGAAAAAAUGGGUAGAAGCCCGAAGAGCCAUAAAAGGCAGCAAGGUCAGGAAGCCACCAGAAUGUCAGUGAGAACCCUCUACAGUUAACAAGCUGGGGAAUGCUCCUUCCAGGGUCCCAAGCUUCUCAGGCACCAAAUGAUAAGAAAUCAUCUUUCUGAGUAACCCACAUGGAGUGGC
rnacentral:lncRNA from 1 species